GACGAACGCUGGCGGCGGGCUUAACACAUGCAAGUCGAACGGAAAGGCCCUGCUUUUGUGGGCUGCUCGAGUGGCGAAAGGGUUUGUAACACGUGAGUAACCUGCCCUUGAUUUUGGGAUAACUUCAGGAAACUGGGGCUAAUAUCGCAUAGGAGCUCCUCCUCCAUGGUGGGGGUUGGAAAGUUUCGGCGGUUGCGGAUGGACUCGCGGUUUACCAGCUUGUUGGUGGGGUAGUGGCUUACCAAGGCUUUGACGGGUAGCCGGCCUGAGAGGGUGAACGGCGUGCUUGGGACUGAGAUACGGCCCAGUAUCCUACGGGAGGCAGUCGGGGGGAAUAUUGUACAAUGAGCGGAAGCCUGAUGCAGCAACGUCGCGUGCGGGAUGACGUCCUUCGGGUUUUAAACCGCUUUCGCGUGUGACGUCGCGUGAGUGACGGUAAUGGUUAAAGAAGCACCGGCUAACUACGUG
rnacentral:rRNA from 1 species